AACUUCCAUAUAUUCCUUCAUUCCUUCCUUCCCGAUCGCCCUUUCACUCUUUAUUUUCGAGAUCGUAGUUCGGCGCAGCUUGUAUUUAGCAAAAAUAGUUAAUUUAAUACUUCUAAUAACACCUGUGACAUCUCAAACAAUAGAAGAUUAUAUGGUUUUUGGCCAUUAAGCCUGCGUCUGCUGGGUUAAUAGAGAUGUUGUCAAGAGUGCUUGCUUGGCAUGAUUCAGGAAAGGAGGCUGUGAUUAGUUCAAUGAAGAAUUCAAUAAACAAAUGGCGAAGACCUCAAGAAUUAUUAUCAAGCAACCAUCUUAUUCACAAGAUGCAGCUUCAAUUGAUUUUCUUUCCAUAUUCUUGAGAACAAAUUACCAUUUUGAAGUGUUCAGUUUUGGUCUGAAAUGGCGAGAUUUUUGAGUCUUAAAAGUUGGUUAUCAGAUUAUUGCCUGGCUAACUGGGUUGAGGUCAGAUAGGCUGUCACUCCUUGUAAACUGGUACUCAGCUGCAUUUGGUUAGAUUGGAAGUGUCGACUUCAGUCCACAUAGUAAAAGUAACUUGGAAAAAGGCUCGGGAGGUGAUGAUGUUGGUUUUCGAUUUGAAUUUCUUAAAUGCCUUCAUGGCAGCAGAUGUUUUCAGAUUGGCUACAGUUAUUUAUUUAUUUGUAUAUUGUAUUCAGAUAUUAUAAAGGUCACUUCCUGUAUUCUUGAAUACUAUUGCAUUGAAAAGAAA